AAACAUCUACUGUCACCAUCUGACAGCUUUAGCACUGAUAUUGAAAACUCACCAAAGUCUGCUAAGAGGAAAGGUGAAAAUUUAGAACAUAUAAAACAACAUAGGCUAAAGCAAUAAAAGAACGUCAGGCUGUGUGCAAUUAAUGCACAGUCUGUUGAAGAAUACCAGGAACAUAGCACUUGCCGCAACAGCAGCUCGCCGACUUCCAAUAUUGAAA